UGAUUUCCUUGAUGCCAUUAGACUCCAGGAGUCAUGUGUGAUCCAUGAGUGAUAAGAGCAAAAGUCAUUUGCCAUACUGCUGUGGCCCCAGAUUUAUCAUGGAGAAAAUGUUUACCUGCCCAGGACAUAGACUGCAACUCUGUCUGAGUCAUUUGGCAUACUGCUGUGGCCCCAGAUUUAUCAUGGAGAAAAUGUUUACCUGCCCAGGACAUGGAGCUGCAACUCUGUCUGGUAAUAAAAUUCCACAUUAUGCCCAGCAGCACAGGUUUGUGAAAUUUCAAUUGUCAAAAUUAUUGUAAAGGUUGAAACAUAAAAGGAAAAGUAUAAGGCACACAAACCUAGACAUUUACCAUGAACCAUAUUAUUAGUGGGUCAGAUCCAGUCUUGAAGACCUUUAGCAUUUUCUGACUUUGAACAACUGAGUACAGCUUAUCUUGAACUCUUUCUGGCUCAAUUUGUAAAUCCCUUUCAUUUUUAUGCAUAGAGUCAUUUGGCAUACUGCUGUGGCCCCAGAUUUAUCAUGGAGAAAAUGUUUACCUGCCCAGGAUAUAGACUGCAACUCUGUCUGUCUUUUGGCAUACUGCUGUGGCCCCAGAUUUAUCAUGGAGAAAAUGUUUACCUGCCCAGAAAGACAUAGAUCUACAACUCUGUCUGGUGAGAAAAUUCCUCAUCGUGCUCAAGAGUACAGAAGGUUGAUUUCUACCUACUCUCCUCGUUUGUGAGAAUUCCAGUGCUGUUCUACAAUAAGAUGGCAUGUUGCAUCUGGAGCAUGGAUUUAGCAGGGUCCCCAGGAUCAGUCUCAGAUUUCACGAGUCUUCACAGAGCUCAAAAAUGGUGUAAUGGUCCAGUUUGUUGCAGAGCCAGACUGUGCUUAACUCUAACGAAGAGAAGUGGGGAAUCAGGAGGAGUCUUCAGAUGGUGGUUGCCAAGUUUCAUUUGUCCUCUUCCAGUGGAGACACAUGUACAGCACUUCAUUUUUCUCUGAACUGUUGUGUGAUCACCUCUGCACAGUUUUGCUAACCAGAUCAGACUCCAGUGCUGAAGACCAUGGGCAUGUGCAAUCUUCCAGCGGUCAAGGCCUGCUGCUCUAAACACCUUUACAGCACAGUUUUAUUACUGCACUACAAGUUAGUAAAACAAUACUACUUACAUUGUAGAAAAAGAACAGAAAAAAAUGACUCCAACGGGCAAACAAAAUCCACAAAAUUCUUAAUUCAGAAGGAAAUACUAGCAGAACCCCAACACGUGCUGUUGAUGUGAAUGAGGAAUGAGUUACUCAACCUGACAGCUGCAAUUCCAUGUCCUACUGGGAAGUUCAAAAUCAACACCAAAAUGUUUUAAGACCUCAUGUCUGAGGGAACAGUACUACUUUGUGGAAAUUUCAGGUUUGUCACUGAAACGACUGGAAGACAUCACAUGUCCCCAGCAGCCAAGAAUGAAUGUGUUCUAAGGACAGUUCUGAUUUCCUUUAUCCUUGGAGAAAGAGCCAUGGUUCUGGGAUUUGAGAACCAGUACUCCACUCAUAGGAGGAGAGGCCCUACAAGCGAAAAGACCCAAACCAUAGAGGCCAGACACUCUGCUGCCUCAAAGUGAAGAGCAGAUUGUUUGCAGUGUACCGGCCUGAACCGGGUACUACACAUACAUCCUUGUGUCUCCACUUGGGACAGGGACGGUUUGAGGUGAAAAGGAGAAGAUAUUUUGAAAUGUUUUGAAACAGGCAUUACCUUGCCUAAGAUGGGAAGAGCCACCAGUGGCCUGGUUGCAACAGCUGUUUCAGGGUGGGAUUCGCCACAGGUCUGCACGGAGCUCCCCCCAACAGUCCUUUUUGCAGGCACACAGAUGGCCAUCCAAGUUAAAAGGUAGAGACGUCAAAUGUCCCCAGCAGCCAAGAAUGAAAGUGUUCUGAGAACAGCUCCGAGGUUGGGCUGUGCCCUGGCCAGCGCCCUUGUUUGGGGUAUGGAAGAAACCUGCUCCUCUCGUAAAGGUCCCUGGCCCUGUACCCAUGUUCCAUAUCAGAAAGGCCAAGUACCCCGCUUCCUCUUUUACAGAGGAGGCCUGUGAUGUUCCUGCGAGAGGCUGGCCUGGGACCUGUGCACACAUUACCUUCCCUCUCAAACUAGAGACUUCCUUGUGCUGAGGUAGGAAAUUGCAGAGUCUUUUGAGCUGGAUUAGGCUCAGUCUUUCGCUCCAGCCUCUUCUGAGAGGCACAAAGUUGGCUUCCCCUGAGCUUGCAGCCAGAGGCAGGGGCUUCAAAAGUUUUCCACAGUGCCUCUGACUAACACUGUGUGCUCUGCACACACAGAGUAGCCUGACCCUUUGCAAGGGAAAGGGCUUCAAGUUUAAGUAGCAAGUGUCCGCAUGGAAGCUGGAAAAAUAGGACAUUAGAAGCAUGCUCUUGAUGCGCAUGGGGCCCAAGGUGUCUCAGAGCCUGCAGGUACUCCCCGUGGGUUGGGAGAGGGCCCUGGUCUUCUGUGUGGUUAUCCUGUCUGAAGAAGUAUGCAGUCACUACUGUUCUGCGGACAUGGCCACAUGCUUCCUGUCUCUACAUGGGAUGUUUUAAAAUGCAGUCUGUCAAGAUUCCCUGUGUCUUGGAAAAGGGGCUGAGACUGCAUGGCUCUGGGGUUGCAGAGCCAAGGCUCAAUUCCGCUCUUAGGAGGCCAGGACCAGCAUGCCGAAAGUCCAGGCGCCCUCCUGACUCAAAGUGAGGAGCAGACUUUGCAUUGAAACGGCCUGCACCUGGUUCUGUGCAUACACACUCGUGUCUGCACUCGGAGACUGGAAGGAGUUGAGGCAAAAAGAGGAGAGGGUAUUUUCUGAUGUCUUGAAAUAUGUGUUGCUCUGCCUGAAAAGGGCAGAGACACUAGUCUCCCUGGUUGCAAGAGUGGUGCUUCAGUGGGAUUCAGCAACGUGUCUCUACUGGGCUCUCCUGAGCUAGUCUAGUUGCAGGCAUACUGAGCACCUUCAAAGCUGUAAAGAAAAGAGUGUGUCCAAAAAUCCACUCGUGGGCAGACCCCAGUCUGAGUUAGACAGCAACAUCACCUCAGAGAGGGUCGUGUGCUGUUUUCUAUGCACAGACAGACGAGGAGCACACUUGCAAAGACAGAGCAGCAGGAUCCGGAUGUGAGCCCAGGCUGGGGCUCCAGGUCCAGGUCUCAGCGUGAGGCAAAGAAGUGACGAUGACACCUCAGGAGUUUCACAGAGAACUCAGAGUGGAAUACCUGUGGACUCCACAAGAGAUCAGGUCACGGAGAUUGCCUGUGGACAUACUUCUUCCUGACAGGGGUUGAGGACCUGAGGGAUAGAAAGGAAAAGGGAUUCCUCAGGCGACAGCCCAGAGGAACCCUGUGUUCUAGUUGGACCCGAGGUCAGCAGGCCUCAUGCCUGCCCUGCCUAAGAGGUUGAAGCAGCUCUCCCCAGAUGUGCGAUUCCAAGUCCUGGGCAGGCCAACCUCUUCUCCAUGAUAAAUCUGCGGCCAUAGCAGUGCGUGGCCAGGCCUGCUUUGUGAAAAUUUCAGCUUUGUCUCUGACCCACCUGCCAGAGACGUCAAAUGUGCCAAGCGGCCAAGAGUGAAUAUGUGCUGAGGGCAGAUCCAAGGGAGGGCAGCGCCCUGGCCAGCGCCCUUGUUCGGGGUAUGAAAGAGACCUGCUCCUCUCGUAGCAGCACCUGGCCCUGUCCCCAAGUUCCAAAUCAGAAAGACCACGUACCCUGCUUCCUCUUCUACACAGGAGGCCUGCGAUGUCCCUUCGAGGGCCUGGCCCAGGGUCCUGUGCAUACGUACCUUCCCUCUCAGCCCAGAGAUUCCUCAUGCCAAGGUGGGACAUUGCAGAGUCUUUUGAGCUGGACUAGGCUCAGUCUUUCAGGUACAAAUUUGGCUUUUCCUGAGCUACAGCCCAAUGGCAGGGGCUUCAAAGGCAUUCCACAGUGCCGCUGAUCAACACUGGGCGCUCUGCAGACACAGAGUGGCCGAACCCUUUGCAAGGGGAAGCACUUCACGUUUAAGUAUUGGGUAUCUCUGCAUGGAGCCUAGGAAAAGCAGGACCUUAGAAGUGUGCUGUUGAUAUGCAUCGGACCCAGGUGUCACAGCAGAUUCAGGUACUCCCCAGGGGUUUGGAGAGGGGCCUUGUCUUGUGCAUUGUUCUCCUGUCAACAGCAGUAUGCCACCACGAUUGCUCCACAGACAUGGCAAUGUACAUCCUAUCUCUCUAGGGGACACUGUAAAAUGCAGAGUCUACCCUGAUUCCUCCUGUCUUUUGAGAAGGGGCUGAGACACAUGGCACGGAGGUUGCAGAGCCAAGGCUCCACUCCGCUCUUAGGAGGCCAGGGCCAGCAUGCUGAAAUCAAGGCCCCAUCCUCCUCAAAGUGAGGUCCUGACUGUUUACAAGGGACCGGCCUGCACCUGGUUGAGCACAUACAUCCUGUGUCUCCACUCGGGGACUAGAAGGAGUAACAGGCAAAAAACAGGGGAGGAUAUUUUGAGUUGAUUGAAACAGGCCUUACCUGGCCUCAUAGGGCAGAGCAACUCUUCUCUCUGAAUGCAACAGCAGUAUUCACAGCCCUCACAAUUGUCUCCUCUGAGGUCCUCCAAGCUCGUCUCAUUGCAGGCAGUCUGAUGCCUUCCAAGUUGUGACGAAGAGAGUGUCUCCAGAAAAUGAACUGGUGGGCAGACCCAGUCUGAGUUAGAUAGCCAUACUGACCUGGAGAGGAUCUUAAGCUAAUAUUUCCUAUGAAUAGCCCAGGCACACACAUACAAAGAUGGAGCUACAGGAUCCAGAAGUGUGCCCAGGCGGGGGCUCCAGGUCCAGGUCGCAGCAUGAGGCAAAGAAGUGAUGCUGACAGCUCAGGAGUUUCAUAGAGAACUAAGAGUGGAAGACCUGUGGACUCCACAAGAAAUCAGGUCACACAGAUUGCCUGUGGACAUACUUCUCCCUGUCAGGGGUUGAGGACCUGAGGAACAGAAAAGAAAAGGAUUCCUCAGGCGACUGCUAAGAUAAGCACCUCUGUUCUGGUUAGACCCGAGGUCAGGAGGCCUCCCGCCUGCCCUGCCUAAGUGUUUGAGGCAGGAGUCACUCUCCUUGUACAUGCACUUCAAGUCCUGGGCAGGCCAACCACUUCUCCAUGAUGAAUCUGCAGCCACAGCAGUCUGCGGCCACGCCUGCUUGGUGGAAAAAUGGGCGUUCUUACUGACCCACUUGCCAGACAUGUCAAAUGUCCCGUGUGGCCAUGAAUGAAUGCGUGCUGAGGACUGCUCCUCUCAUAGCAGCUCCUGUCCCUGUCCCCAGGUUCCAGAUGAAAAAGGCCACGUACCCCUCUUGUACAGAGGAGGCCAGCAUUGUCCCUUCGAGAGCCUGGCUCAGGAGCCGGUGCAUCCCUUACCUUCCCUCUCAACCCAGAGAUUCCUCAUGCCGAGGUGGGACAUUGCAGAGUCUUUUGAGCUGGACUAGGCUCAGUCUUUCAGACACAAAUUUGGCUUUUCCUGAGCUGCAGCCCAACAGCAGGGACUUCAAAGUUGUUCUGCAGUGCUGCUGCUCAACACUGGGCGCUCUGCGGACACAGAGUGGACUGAACCCUUUGCAAGGGGAUGUGCUUCAAGCUUAAGUAUCGGGUAUCCCUGCACGGAGCCAAGGGGAAGCAGGGCAUUAGAAGUGUGCUGUUGACGUGCAUGGGACCCAGGUGUCACAGCGGCUUCUGGUACUCCCCAGGGGUUCGGAGAGACCCUGCUCUUGUGCGUGGUUCUCCUGUCCACAGCAGUAUGCAGCCACAACUGCUCCACAGACUUGGCCAUGUACUUCCUAUCACUCGAGGGGACACUUAAAAUGCAGAGUCUGCCUUGAUUCCUCGUGUCUUUGGGGAAGGGGCCGACACUCAAGGCUCGGUGUUUGCAGAUCCAAGGCUCAACUCCGUUCUUAGGAGGCCAGGGCCAGCAUUCCACAAGGCCAGGUGCCACCUGCCUCAAAGUGAGGUCCUGACUGUUUGCCAGAGACCGGCCUGCACCUGCUUGGGCACGUACAUCCUGUGUCUCCACUCGGGGAUUAGAAUGAGUAACGGGCAAAAAGUAGGGGAGGAUAUUCUGAGUUGGUUGAAACAGGCCUUUCCUGGCCACAUAGGGGCAGAGCGACUCCUCUCUGAUUGCAACCGCAGUGUUCCGAGGGGCUUCGCAAAUGGCUCCUCCGAGGUCCUCGAAGAUUUCCUCUUGGCAGGCACUCCAAUGCCUUCCAAGUUGUGAAGAAGAGAGUGUCUCCAGAAAAUGAACUGGUGGGCAGACCCAGUCUGAGUUAGACAGCCGUAUUCACCUUGGAGAGGGACUUGAGCUAAUGUUUCCUGUGCAUAGACCAGGCGCACACGUACAAAGACGGAGCAGCAGGAUCCGGAUGUGAGCCCAGGCUGGGGCUCCAGGUCCAGGUCUCAGCAUGAGGCAAAGAAGUGACACUGACAGCUCAGGAGUUUCACAGAGAACUCAGAGUGGAAGACCUGUGGACUCCACAAGAGAUCAGGUCACGGAGGUUGCCUGUGGACAUACUUCUUCCUGUCAGGGGUUGGCGACCUGAUGACAGAAAGGAGAAGGAUUCCUGAAGCGACAGCCCAGAGGAGCACCUGUGUUCUGGUUAGACCCGAGGUUUGCAGGCCUCCCGCCUGCCCUGCCUAUGAGGUUGAGGCAGGAGCCGUACUCCCCAUACGUGCACUUGCGAGCCCUGGGCAGGCCAACCUUUUCUCCAUGAUGAAAGUACAGCAACAGCAGUGCGUGGCCAUGCCUGCGUGGUAGGAAAAUUGGCUUCUCAUUGACCAACUUCCAGAUAUGUCAAAUGUCCCAUGCGGCCAUGAAUGAAUGCAUGCUGAGGACAGCUCAGAUGCUGUGGUGGGCCCUUGCCAAUGCCAUUCUUCCGGUUGUGGAAGAAACCUGCUCCUCUCAUAGCAGCUCCUGGCCCUGUCCCCAAGUUCCAGAUCAAAAAGGCCACAUGACCCUCUUCGUGUUCUACAGAGGAGGCCUGCGAUGCCCCUUCUAGAGCCUGGCCCAGGGGGCGGUGCAUCCCUUACCUUCCCUCUCAGCCCAGAGAUUCCUCGUGCCGAGAUGGGACAUUGCAGAGUCUUUUGAGCUGGACUCGGCUCAGUCUUUCAGGCACAAAUUUGGCUUUUCCUGAGCUGCAGCCCGAUGGCAGGGGCUUCAAAGUUGUCCUGCAGUGCCGCUGCUCAACACUGGGAACUCUGCACACACAGUAUGGCCGAACACUUUGCAAGGGGACGCGCUUCAAGUAUCGGGUAUCUCUUCACGGAGCCUAAAAGCAGGACCUUAGAAGCGUGCUGUCGACAUACAUGGGACCCAGGUGUCACAGUGGCUUCAGGUACUCCCCAGGGGUUCAGAGAGACCCUGCUCUUGUGCGUGGUUCUCCUGUCCACAGCAGUAUGCAGCCACUACUGCUCCACAGACCUGGCCAUGUACUUCCUAUCACUCGAGGGGACACUUAAAAUGCAGAGUCUGCCCUGAUUCCUCGUGUCUUUGGGGAAGUGACUGAGAAACAAGACUCAGGGGUUGCAGAGCCAAGGCUCAUGUCUGCUGUUAGGAGGCCAGGGCCAGCAUGCCGAAAAUCCAGGCGCCACCUACCUCAAAGUGAGGUCCUAACUGUUUGCAAGGGACCGGCCUGCAUCUCGUUAGGCAAAUACAUCCUGUCUCCACUUGGGGACUAGAAGGAGUAAUGGGCAAAAAGUAGGGAAGGUUAUUUUGAGUUGAUUGAAACAGGCCUUACCUGGCUUCAUAGGGGCAGAGCGACUCUUCUCUCUGCAUGCAAAAGCAGCAUUCCAAGGGGCUUCACAAAUGUCUUCUCCGAGGUCCUCGAAACUUGCCUCAUUGCAGGCAUUCUGAUGCCUUCUAAAGGCAUCAGACGAAGAGAGUAUCUCCAGAAAAUGAACUGGUGGGCAGACCCAGUCUGAGUUAGACAGCCAUGUUCAUCUUGGAGAGGAUCGUGUCUAAUAUUCCCUAUGCACAGACCAGGCACACACGUACAGAGACAAAACAGCAGGAUGCGGAUUGAGCCCAGGCUGGGGCUCCAGGUCCAGGUCUCAGCGUGAGGAAAAGGAGUGACAGUGACAGCUCAGGAGUUUCACAGAGCACUCAGAGUGGAAGACCUGUGGACUCCACAAUAGAUCAGAUCACGGAGGUUGCCUGUGGACAUACUUCUCCCCGGCAGGGCUUGAGGACCUGAUGACAGAAAGGAGAAUGAUUCCUGAAGCAACAACCCACAGGAACCCUGUGUUCUGGUUAGACCCGACGUCAGCAGGCCUCACGCCUGCCCUGCCUAUGAGGUUGAGACAGGAGCCGCUCUCCCUGUACAUACAUUUCCGGGUUCCGGGCAGGCAACCUCUUCUCCAUGAUGAAUCUGCGGCCACAGCAAUGCGCAGCCGCGACUGCCUGGUGGAAAUAUUGCCUUUGACUCUGACCCACCAGCCAGAGACUUGAGAUGUCCCUCGGGGCCAUGAAUGAAUGUGUGCUGAGGGCAGCUCCGAUGGAGGGAUGCGCCUUGGUCAAAGCCCUUGUUCAGGGUAUGGAAGAGACCUGCUCCUCUCAUAGCAGCUGCUGGGCCUGUCCCCAAAUUCCAGAUCAAAAGGGCCACGUGACCCUCUUCCUCUUGUACAGAGGAGGCCUGCGAUGUCGCUUCGAGCCUGUGGUCCAGGGGCCGGUGCAUCCCUUACCUUCCCUCGCAGCCCAGAGAUUCCUCAUGCCGAGGUGGGACAUUGCAGAGUCUUUUGAGCUGGACUAGGCUCAGUCUUUCAGGCACAAAUUUGGCUUUUGCUGAGCUGCAGCCCAAAGGCAGGGACUUCAAAGUUGUUCUGCAGUGCCGCUGCUCAACACUAGGCACUCUGCAGACACAGAGUGGACUGAACCCUUUGCAAGGGGAAGCGCUUCAAGCUUAAGUAUCAGGUAUCUCUGCACGGAGCCUAGGUAAAGCAGGGCAUUAGAAGUGUGCCGUUGACGUGCAUGGGACCCAAGUAUCACAGCGGCUUCAGGUACUGCCCAGGGGUUCGGAGAGGCCCUGCUCUUGUGCGUGGUUCUCCUGUCCACAGCAGUAUGCAGCCACAACUGCUCCACAGGCCUGGCCAUGCACUUCCUAGCUCUUGAGGGGACACUUAAAAUGCAGAGUCUGCCCUGAUUCCUCGUGUCUUUGGGGAAGGGGCCGACACUCAAGGCUCAGGGGUGGCAGAGCCAAGGCUCAACUCCGUUCUUAGGAGGCCAGGGCCAGCAUUCCACAAGUCCAGGCGCCACCUGCCUCAAAGUGAAGUCCUGACUGUUUGCCUGGGACCGUCCUGCACCUGCUUGGGCACGUACAUCCUGUGUCUCCACUCGAGGAUUAGAAUGAGUAACGGGCAAAAAGUAGGGGAGGAUAUUCUGAGUUGGUUGAAACAGGCCUUUCCUGGCCACAUAGGGGCAGAGCGACUCCUCUCUGAUUGCAACCGCAGUGUUCCGAGGGGCUUCGCAAAUGGCUCCUCCGAGGUCCUUGAAGCUUUCAUCGUUGCAGGCACUCCGAUGCCUUCCAAGUUGUGAAGAAGAGAGUGUCUCCAGAAAAUGAACUGGUGGGCAGACCCAGUCUGAGUUAGACAGCCAUAUUCACCUUGGAGAGGAGCGUGUCUAAUGCUUCCUGUGCACAAACCAGGCGCACACAUACCGAGACGGAGCAGCAGGAUGCGGAUGUGAGCCAGGCUGGGGCUCCAGGUCCAGGUCUCAGCUUGAGGAAAAGGAGUGACACUGACAGCUCAGGAGUUUCACAGAGAACUCGGAGUGGAAGACCUGUGGACUCCGCAAUAGAUCAGAUCACGGAGGUUGCCUGUGGACAUACUUCUCCCCGGCAGGGCUUGAAGAACUGAUGACAGAAAGGAGAAGGAUUCCUGAAGCGACAGCCCAGAGGAACCCUGUGUUCUGGUUAGACCCGAGGUCAGCAGGCCUCACGCCUGCCCUGCCUAUGAGGUUGAGACAGGAGCCGCUCUCCCUGUUCAUACACUUCCGAGUUCCGGGCAGGCAACCUCUUCUCCAUGAUGAAUCUGUGGCCACAGCAAUGCGCAGCCGCGACUGCCUGGUGGAAAUAUUGCCUUUGACUCUGACCCACCAGCCAGAGACUUGAG